UUUUUUGUUUUCAAUGACAUGGACAACGUCAUACUUGAUCAUAAAUGUUUUGGAAAUAUCUUGAGUAUAAUAAUUAUAGUAAUAAUAAUAUGGAAUUUUUACAAAAAGAUAUAAACGUCCGCAAAACAUUUGAAGUGAAAACAAGGUUUGCGAUGGGCACGAGGAACUUUCAGGCCGGUGACCCCUUCGAGCACGUCUGCUAGGAGGAGACCAUCCGCGCAGUCACGAGCCAGCCCGCCUCCAGUGGUGCCAGCACGGCGUCGCGACCGUGCCCGUUCCAAGUAAUGGUUCGCCCAAUCUGUGUAGAUCUGUAAUACAAUAAUUAAUAAUAAA